rnacentral:tRNA from 1 species
UGCCCGAUAGUAUAACGGUAGUAUGUCAGAUUCUGGCUCUGAAGGUCUAGGUUCGAAACCUGGUCGGGCAA